AAAGAGCUCGUAGGUGGUUUGUCGCGUUGUUCGUGAAAUCUCACGGCUUAACUGUGAGCGUGCGGGCGAUACGGGCAGACUUGAGUACUGCAGGGGAGACUGGAAUUCCUGGUGUAGCGGUGGAAUGCGCAGAUAUCAGGAGGAACACCGGUGGCGAAGGCGGGUCUCUGGCAGUAACUGACGCUGAGGAGCGAAAGCGUGGGGAGCGAACAGGAUUAGAUACCCUGGUAGUCCACGCCGUAAACGGUGGGUACUAGGUGUGGGUUUCCUUCCUUGGGAUCCGUGCCGUAGCUAACGCAUUAAGUACCCCGCCUGGGGAGUACGGCCGCAAGGCUAAAACUCAAAGAAAUUGACGGGGGCCCGCACAAGCGGCGGAGCAUGUGGAUUAAUUCGAUGCAACGCGAAGAACCUUACCUGGGUUUGACAUGCACAGGACGCCGGCAGAGAUGUCGGUUCCCUUGUGGCCUGUGUGCAGGUGGUGCAUGGCUGUCGUCAGCUCGUGUCGUGAGAUGUUGGGUUAAGUCCCGCAACGAGCGCAACCCUUGUCUCAUGUUGCCAGCGGGUAAUGCCGGGGACUCGUGAGAGACUGCCGGGGUCAACUCGGAGGAAGGUGGGGAUGACGUCAAGUCAUCAUGCCCCUUAUGUCCAGGGCUUCACACAUGCUACAAUGGCCGGUACAAAGGGCUGCGAUGCCGCGAGGUUAAGCGAAUCCUUUUAAAGCCGGUCUCAGUUCGGAUCGGGGUCUGCAACUCGACCCCGUGAAGUCGGAGUCGCUAGUAAUCGCAGAUC
rnacentral:rRNA from 1 species